rnacentral:rRNA from 1 species
GAUGAACGCUGGCGGCGUGCCUAAUACAUGCAAGUCGAGCGAACAGAUAAGGAGCUUGCUCCUUUGAAGUUAGCGGUGGACGGGUGAGUAACACGUGGGUAACCUACCUAUAAGACUGGGAUAACUUCGGGAAACCGGAGCUAAUACCGGAUAACAUUUAGAACCGCAUGGUUCUAAAGUGAAAGAUGGUUUUGCUAUCACUUAUAGAUGGACCCGCGCCGUAUUAGCUAGUUGGUAAGGUAACGGCUUACCAAGGCGACGAUACGUAGCCGACCUGAGAGGGUGAUCGGCCACACUGGAACUGAGACACGGUCCAGACUCCUACGGGAGGCAGCAGUAGGGAAUCUUCCGCAAUGGGCGAAAGCCUGACGGAGCAACGCCGCGUGAGUGAUGAAGGGUUUCGGCUCGUAAAACUCUGUUAUUAGGGAAGAACAAAUGUGUAAGUAACUGUGCACAUCUUGACGGUACCUAAUCAGAAAGCCACGGCUAACUACGUG